rnacentral:misc_RNA from 1 species
AUAUACCUCACCAUUUUCCAUCAAUCUUCAGUGUACGCUUUCAACAGUUUGCCCAGUAAGAGUAGGGACUCCAUAGGACUCGAUACUGGGGCCUAUGCUUUUUAACAUUUCCCUGUUUAACAUAUAAGGUCUUCCCCAAAUGAAGCAGCAACCCUAUUACAAACUGGUGUUACAAUUUUGACAAAUUAGUUUAAAAUUAGAUAGCCUACUCGUUCUAAAUCCAAUAAAAAGUGAGAAUAAGCCAUUAUAUUUAAAAAAAAAAAAUACGUUACUCCACCAUACAUUGUAAUAGAAAAUUCCUUCAUCUCAUGGAAUGUUGAUGGUCGAGACAUCAAGUACUUAGGUCUGUAUCUCCAUAAGAAAUUAUCGUGGAAGUUACUAAUGAAUACAAAAUUAACGCAACCUUAUGCACGUUUAUCUCUUCAGUUUACUUAAUGGGAAUUCUAGUUUAAAGCCGGCCUGCACACUAAUGAUUUAUACAAGUAUACUGAAACCCUUAAUAAUUUAUGCCUGUCCAGUUUGGGGACUACACAUUUCUUCUGGUAAUAUGAAAAAAUUCAGACUUUUAAAAUAAAUGUUAAGUAUUGAGGAUAGCAGCUAAUUAUCCCUGGUACAUUCGAAAUACCCACCUCCGUGAAGACUUGAUUAGAUUUGGAAGUUUAUUGAGAGAACAUCUAAGUGUUAGCUAAUUUACACAGUGUUCCCGGAGCAAUUACAUUCCAUAUUGGAGAGACAACCUUUGAUCGACGUCUGAAACCAAGACCUCUCCAGGAAAUUCUAUAUACUGUUUCUUAUUCCCGUGAGUAAUCAGAUAUCAUUAUCAUUAUUCCGGUGAGUUGAAGAAGAGAUUUAUAUAACGCGAAUGCGUGGUAGUCCUAGUUAAAUAGACUUUUUACAUGACUCACCAUUCUAGUUUUAUUCCGUAGUCUAUGGCAAAUACCGUGUGCUCUGCGAACCGAAUAUUUUAGUGGUCUGAGGUUAUAAAUCGCAUUCAUCGCUUUUGAAAUUUAAGUUUACGUGGUUAAAAGAUUCUAUAUUUGACAAUGUAAUAGUUUAAAGGUUCUACGUCGCAUGCAAUUAAGGGGCCUACCCGUGAUUUUGGUUAACUGUUAUAAAGUAACAGUUAUGUUAUUUUAGUACCAUCUUUAUUGAUUGGUGGGAGACAACAAUAAUAAACACACCUGUUGAGAGUGGGAGUGGGACCGGUCCACUAGUCCAUACAUUAAGCACUCUUCGAUAUAUCCUCGUAAACAAGUUCUGUUUCUGGACCCAUGCAUGGACAGAACUUAGAUGGACUACUUGAAACUUGAUAUUUUAGUUGAAUGAUGCUGGGAGAGAAUCAGGUAACUCUUGUCCUGGUGACUUAGAGAGAUCUCGAGAGUGAUCAUAUUCGAUCAGCAUGUGCUAAUUUUUGUUCUAAUCAAACAUUAAUCAUGUCUUUGACAUCAUUGCCAUUGGAAGUUCUAGAAGCAAUAAUGAUGUAUGUUGAUGCAACCGAUCUGGUCAAUGUAUGGAAGUCUGUAGGCUUUGACAGCAGUGAAACCUUUUGGAGGAAAAUGUGUGAGAGAGAAGGCUAUAAAAAAGAUUUAGAAGAGGAUGAAUCCUGGAGAGAUGUUUUUGUGAUAAGGACCAACUGGCUUAGUUAUAAGAAUUGUGUAAAACGACGAUAUGAAGAGACCAGAGCAUCAUAUCCUGCCUUAAAAAUGGGUACAACCGAGGCAACUUUAAAUUGAUGUGGAACCACACCUUGAGCAAAAGACUUACUAAAAGUAUCAAACAACAAAGGAGCAAACACUUCAAUAUUUUCCUUAAUAGUAGUUAUACUAAUGCCAUCAAUGCCGCAACUAGGUUUAUUCUUUAACAAAGUAAUAGUUUUAAUAACGUCAUUAUAAUCACUUGCAAACUUGCUGAAAAAAACAUUAUGCUGUAAAUUAUCUAUUAAAAACAUGUCGCUACCAAAAGCCUCUACUCUAAGAGUUGAAAUGAUAUUAGUGUAGUACGUGUUAACCCUUCCCGGGUCAAUGACGGUUAUAUACGCCUAACUUAACAUUUCCCGAGGGUCAUAUGCGUAUAUUUACGCAUACACUUAUUUUGGCCAAGUGUCAAAUGCAUGUAUAUACGCAUAAUCAUGUUCAUGAAUAUCCUUAUUGUUUGCAGUUGUCAGCUAUUCCAGCUAAUCAGGAACAUAAUAUAAGUAGUUUGGCGGCAGUAUGGUUAGGGGGGGGGGGUGCCGGAGUUGCUUGGGGGGGGAGGACCUUUAGCGGCAACUGAAUGAAGGUCAUUGUCGGUUGCUUCUUUGUUUACUGAGUCGCUCUCCACUCGGCGUACUGAACUGAAGUUGUUAGGUUGUUUCAUACUCGAUUAUACCUAUUGAAUUGAUGUAGAUGAAAUUUAUAAUGUACGUUGCCUUGGAAUAAGUCAUGAAUAUUUUAUUCCUACAUCCCACCCAGUUGUACUCUAAAAAGUAAAUUCGCAAUCAGUUCUGUAAUUAUUGAGUGAAGUAGUUUGGUGGCAGUAAGGUGCGCCGGAAUAGCUCGGGCUGCUUGGUGGGGGAGGGGUUUUAUCGGCAAGUCAAGGUCAUUGUCGGCUGCCUGCCUCUUUGUUUCUCAGUCGCUCUGCACCCUAUGCACCACGGCUAGACGGAAAACUUCAUCUCAUGGGAAGAGACGCAAAGGGUCAUCGAUGCCAUGUCUGCUAUAAAAAAUAUCUGCGAAAAGAAACAAUCUAUUUUUGUAAAACGUGUGUCAACAAACCGUUCCUUCACCCACAUAGCUGUUUCGAAGCUUAUCAUAACAUGGGGGACUAUGUGAGUGGACAGUGAUCAAUCUCCUUUGUUAUAUGACUAGUUUUUACUUUAUUUGUUUUGUACGUUAACCCUAAUCAUGUAGUACAUACUUAUUUUUAAUCAUAAAAUGUUUUUAUUACGCUAAACCUAAACAUCAAUUAUAUUUAUAUACGCAUGUCAAUUCGUGGAAGGGUCAAUGACGCUUAUAUAACUGGUCUAUCACACAAAAAAAGGUGGGGAAAAUUAUUUAUGGAUAGAUUUCCAUUUUUCCAUGACAGGUAAGCAAUUUAAAAUCAAAUUGAGUAGUUUUUGUCAAAAAAACUUUUUUACCCCAACAGAUGAAUAAUAUGCAAUCUAAGGGUACAGUAAGUUGACCUUGGAAGGGUUAAAUGCAUCUGCUAUGUUUUUCAUUGCCAGUAACCUUGACCAACAUACCGUCUACUAAAACACUGCUAAUUGACUUACAUUUAGUCACAAUUUUCUUAAUAACAUUCCAAUAUUUUUUUGAGUCACCAUUACAUUUGCCUACCAGAGCAAAAUAAUACUGAAGCUUAGUUUGCCUAAUUCUCCUAGUAACCGUAUUAGAUAAACCGUAAAAGAUGUUUGAUAUUGUUCAUACAGUUUCAAUUAUAUAGAUGUUAAAUGUUAUUCCAAAAUUGUCUAAUUUAAUGCAUUUUACUCCAACUAGAUAUCUGGUUGUAUAGUGGCUGUGAUAUUGGUCAUACUGUUUCAAUUAUGUAGAUGUUAAAUGUUACUCCAAAACUGUCUAAUUUAAUGCAUUUUACUCCGACUAUAUAUCUGGUUGUGUAAUUGAUGUGUGAUAUUGGUCAUACAGUUUCAAUUAUAUAGAUGUUACAUUUAAUUUAAAAAUUGUCUAAUUUAAUGCAUUUUACUCCGUCUAGAUAUCUGGUUGUAUAGUUGAUGUGAUAUUGUUCAUACAGUUUCAAUUAUAUAGACUUUAAAUGUUAUUCCACAACUGUCUAGAUAUCUGGUUGUGUAAUUGAUGUGUGAUAUUGGUUAUACAGUUUCAAUUAUAUAGAUGUUACAUUUAAUUCCAAAAUUGUCUAAUUUAAUGCAUUUUACUCCGUCUAGAUAUCUGGUUGUAUAGUUGAUAUGUGAUAUUAGUCAUACAGUUUCAAUUAUAUAAAUGUUAAAUGUUAUUCCAAAAUUGUCUAAUUUAAUGCAUUUUACUCUGUCUAGAUGUCUGGUUGUAUAGUUCAUGUGUGAUAUUAGUCAUACAGUUUCAAUUAUAUAGAUGAUAAUGUAAUUCCAAAUUGUGUAAUUCAACCCUCGUACUGGUGGUGUCUGCUCCUCUACUGGCACCUUUUUUUUGCUGUUUGUAAGAAUUACGUUAAACUGUUAUAUACCUCUCAAAAAUCUUCAAAUAUACAACUUAUUAUAUAUCACUGAUUUUAGAAUAUUCAAAAUAAUAAAAAGUUAUAAUCAUUAAUAUUGUCUUAUUAAAAAAAAGGUUUCUGUGUUUGAAUGCGCUUGAUAUGAAUUUAAAAAAAUAUUUUAUAACU